AACGCACAUUGCGCCCGCCAGUAUUCUGGCGGGCAUGCCUGUCCGAGCGUCAUUUCAACCCAUCAAGCCUAGCGCUUGUGUUGGAGCCCUGCGGCCGCCGCAGCCUCUCAAAAUUAGUGGCGGGCUCGCUAUCACGCUGAGUGCAGUAGUAUUCUCCUCACUCCUGUUGUGUAGCGGGUAACCAGCCGUAAAACUCUCUUAUUCAGGUUGACCUCGGAUCAGGUAGGAAUACCCGCUGAACUUAA
rnacentral:misc_RNA from 1 species